UACUGAGUUUACGCUCUAUAACCCUUUGUGAACAUACCUAUAACUGUUGCUUCGGCGGGUAGGGUCUCCGUGACCCUCCCGGCCUCCCGCCCCCGGGCGGGUCGGCGCCCGCCGGAGGAUAACCAAACUCUGAUUUAACGACGUUUCUUCUGAGUGGUACAAGCAAAUAAUCAAAACUUUUAACAACGGAUCUCUUGGUUCUGGCAUCGAUGAAGAACGCAGCGAAAUGCGAUAAGUAAUGUGAAUUGCAGAAUUCAGUGAAUCAUCGAAUCUUUGAACGCACAUUGCGCCCGCCAGCAUUCUGGCGGGCAUGCCUGUUCGAGCGUCAUUUCAACCCUCAAGCUCUGCUUGGUGUUGGGGCCCUACAGCUGAUGUAGGCCCUCAAAGGUAGUGGCGGACCCUCCCGGAGCCUCCUUUGCGUAGUAACUUUACGUCUCGCACUGGGAUCCGGAGGGACUCUUGCCGUAAAACCCCCAAUUUUCCAAAGGUUGACCUCGGAUCAGGUAGGAAUACCCGCUGAACUUAAGCAUAUCAAUAAGCGGAGGAAAAGAAACCAACAGGGAUUGCCUCAGUAACGGCGAGUGAAGCGGCAACAGCUCA
rnacentral:rRNA from 1 species